UACGUAGGGACCGAGCGUUGUCCGGAAUCAUUGGGCGUAAAGAGCGUGUAGGCGGCCACUUAAGUCCUGCGUGAAAUCUUGCGGCUCAACCGCAAGCGGUCGUGGGAAACUGGGUGGCUAGAGUGCGGGAGAGGAGAGUGGAAUUCCUGGUGUAGCGGUGGAAUGCGCAGAUAUCAGGAGGAACACCUAUUGCGAAGGCAGCUCGCUGGGACGUAACUGACGCUGAGACGCGAAAGCAUGGGGAGCAAACAGG
rnacentral:rRNA from 1 species